GAUGAACGCUGGCGGCGUGCCUAAUACAUGCAAGUCGAGCGAACGGACGAGAAGCUUGCUUCUCUGAUGUUAGCGGCGGACGGGUGAGUAACACGUGGAUAACCUACCUAUAAGACUGGGAUAACUUCGGGAAACCGGAGCUAAUACCGGAUAAUAUUUUGAACCGCAUGGUUCAAAAGUGAAAGACGGUCUUGCUGUCACUUAUAGAUGGAUCCGCGCUGCAUUAGCUAGUUGGUAAGGUAACGGCUUACCAAGGCAACGAUGCAUAGCCGACCUGAGAGGGUGAUCGGCCACACUGGAACUGAGACACGGUCCAGACUCCUACGGGAGGCAGCAGUAGGGAAUCUUCCGCAAUGGGCGAAAGCCUGACGGAGCAACGCCGCGUGAGUGAUGAAGGUCUUCGGAUCGUAAAACUCUGUUAUUAGGGAAGAACAUAUGUGUAAGUAACUGUGCACAUCUUGACGGUACCUAAUCAGAAAGCCACGGCUAACUACGUGCCAGCAGCCGCGGUAAUACGUAGGUGGCAAGCGUUAUCCGGAAUUAUUGGGCGUAAAGCGCGCGUAGGCGGUUUUUUAAGUCUGAUGUGAAAGCCCACGGCUCAACCGUGGAGGGUCAUUGGAAACUGGAAAACUUGAGUGCAGAAGAGGAAAGUGGAAUUCCAUGUGUAGCGGUGAAAUGCGCAGAGAUAUGGAGGAACACCAGUGGCGAAGGCGACUUUCUGGUCUGUAACUGACGCUGAUGUGCGAAAGCGUGGGGAUCAAACAGGAUUAGAUACCCUGGUAGUCCACGCCGUAAACGAUGAGUGCUAAGUGUUAGGGGGUUUCCGCCCCUUAGUGCUGCAGCUAACGCAUUAAGCACUCCGCCUGGGGAGUACGACCGCAAGGUUGAAACUCAAAGGAAUUGACGGGGACCCGCACAAGCGGUGGAGCAUGUGGUUUAAUUCGAAGCAACGCGAAGAACCUUACCAAAUCUUGACAUCCUUUGACAACUCUAGAGAUAGAGCUUUCCCCUUCGGGGGACAAAGUGACAGGUGGUGCAUGGUUGUCGUCAGCUCGUGUCGUGAGAUGUUGGGCUAAGUCCCGCAACGAGCGCAACCCUUAAGCUUAGUUGCCAUCAUUAAGUUGGGCACUCUAAGUUGACUGCCGGUGACAAACCGGAGGAAGGUGGGGAUGACGUCAAAUCAUCAUGCCCCUUAUGAUUUGGGCUACACACGUGCUACAAUGGACAAUACAAAGGGCAGCGAAACCGCGAGGUCAAGCAAAUCCCAUAAAGUUGUUCUCAGUUCGGAUUGUAGUCUGCAACUCGACUACAUGAAGCUGGAAUCGCUAGUAAUCGUAGAUCAGCAUGCUACGGUGAAUACGUUCCCGGGUCU
rnacentral:rRNA from 1 species